UUCUUAUCGAGAGAGAUCGAGGGACAGGCCCUAUGACAUCUCGGCAACAGGUUUUCUUAACACUGUGCCAAAUCCUGCAAACGUCUAUGUUUGAAAGAUGAGAA
rfam:Lysinibacillus sp. BF-4 contig00046, whole genome shotgun sequence.